AAUGGAUCAGCAGGAACAGCAGAACCAAACCUCUCGGGAAGAUUACCAUUUAACCCCCACCGCUCCCCGUCUUCUCUCUCGCGAAGUCCUUUUUUGCUUCCCAUUCCGCUCGCUCGAUCUCUCUCCAAUGGCGGGCCUCAGCGCCCUCAACCGCCCCUCGGCGGCGGCCUCCGUCGCCCCUCCAGGCCUCGCCUCGAGGCUCGUCCUUCUUCUCACCGCCCUCCCCCUCUUCCUCUCCAUUUUUGCCUUCGUCCUCCAGUGGCGCGGUGGCACCGACGACCCGGUCUCGCGGUGGCCUGCCGAGUCUCAGAAGUUCCCCGGGAUGGAUAACAGCCCACUCGGCUCGUCCAUCUCGUCGUCGACGUCCGGGCGCUCGUCGUCGUCUUCCUCCGAUUGCGUGGAGAUCCUCGGCCAGAGCUCCUCUCCUUCCUUCCCUUAUUAUCGAGGGUGGAAGUUCAAUUUCGAUUUGGAUCCGCAUCCAAAGAUAAGUAUUGUAUCAACCACCUCAGCCAGCUUGGAGCAAAUUUUGCCAUGGCUGUUUUACCACAAGGUCAUUGGUGUAACACAAUUCCUUCUAUUUGUUGAAGGAAAGGCUGCAAAAUCUCAUUCUUCGGCAAUCCUUGAAUCUAUUCCGGGGGUGAAAGUUAUACACAGAACUAAAGAUCUUGAGGAGAAACAAGCACAAAGCCGUAUCUGGAAUGAGACAUGGCUGGCAGGCUUCUUCUACAAGCCUUGCAAUUAUGAACUAUUUGUGAAGCAGUCACUAAAUAUGGAGAUGGCUAUUGUUAUGGCACGGGAAUCUGGAAUGGAUUGGAUAAUACAUCUUGACACUGACGAGUUAAUGCAUCCUGCUGGUGCUGGAGAGUACUCUUUAAGGCGGUUGCUGUUGGAUGUCUCUAGUGAUGUUGAUAUGGUUAUCUUUCCAAAUUAUGAAAGUUGCAUUGAGCGAGAUGAUAUAAAAGAUCCCUUCAGUGAGGUAUCCAUGUUUAAGAAGAACUAUGACCAUCUACCAAAGGAUACAUAUUUUGGUAUGUAUAAGGAGGCAACACGUGGCAACCCCAAUUAUUUCCUUACUUAUGGAAAUGGCAAAUCAGCUGCACGAAUUCAAGAUCAUCUUCGUCCUAAUGGUGCGCAUAGGUGGCACAAUUAUAUGAAGAUUCCAAAGGAGGUUAAACUGGAUGAGGCUGCUGUUCUACAUUUCACAUAUACCAAAUUUUCAGACCUGACCUCACGGCGUGAUCGGUGUGGCUGCAAACCAACAAAAGAUGAUGUCAAAAGAUGCUUUAUGUUGGAUUUUGACAGAGCCUCAUGAACCACCCUGGUUGGAGCCAUGGUCUACCCAGCAGUGCUUCAUAUCCUCCUUGCUCUUUGUCUAAGAUUGGACUAAAGGCCUUCAUUAUUGCAUCGACGGCCACUGAAGAGGAAAUGCUGCAUUGGUACAAUGAACAUGUUGUGUGGACAGAUAAACAAUUAAAUCUAAAGCUUCUAAAGAAGGGUGUCUUGACACGUGUAUAUGCACCAAUGGCCAUUAUUCAAGGUUUGAGGGAGUCUGGUGUUUUCAGCUCUGCAAUUGCAUCUGCACAAACACUUUCCAAAGAGAAAUUUUUGUCCUCCAUGGAAGGCCUCCAAAACAAAAACUCUUCGGCACUUCCCAAUCUGAGCACUGCUGCAUCCAAGAACACGAUGAGAGGAGCUGGUGGAAAAGAAUCUUAUGCAUCGGCAAGGAAGAUCUUGGAGACUGCUGUCUUCACUGAGAAUGCAAUUCCGCCAAUAUCACCGCCAGGCUUGGAUGAUAUCUAAACUAAAACAUGAUGAUCUGCUAUUCUGCAUUGCUUCUCUGAGUUCACGUAAUUGAAGAAUAUAACAUUCCAGAUGCCAGUUAACUGCAGCAAAGAAAUGGAAUAGAAGCAACCUGUCUGAGACACCAUGAAUCACCCAUUCAAAUGGUGGUUCUGCUUCCCGAUCAUAUCAUCCAAGCGCUGGUUUACAAUUUUGACAUGUUUUCUUUUUCACAGAUUUGAAAGAUGUUAGAAGAAAAAUUUUCCCCUGGGAAUCUAUAUGCAGGAUUUGUUUGCAUGGGAUUCCCAUUAUUAUUUCAUUCUGUUCCAGAAAAUUUGUAUAGAAACUGAUUGGGGUCUUUUGUUCUAAAAUUUAUGCUAAUCCAUAUUUCUAUACUAUACCAAAGGCUUAUGAAUUUUUCCCCAUUAGGAGUGGUAAUGUUCAUGUCUAUUGUGAAAGUCAUGGUUAUCAUGUAACGAAUAGAUUGGAAAAA